GCUUUGUGAAGCGCGGGGCCCAAGUUCGACUGAGGCACGGCACGGGAAAAAAAAAAGAGUAAUUUUGGCCAUUAAGGGAGUGAAAGGAGCAGCUGAUUCCCUCAUUUCCAGAAAGCAGCAAAAGGCUUUGCUGGGACAUAAAGGACUAAAUCCUCCUCAUCCUCAUUCUCUGGCAACCCACUGACGUCAAGGGGUUAAUGAAAGGCAGAACGUGGCUCCAGGGGUCCCUUUUUGGAACUGCAGGAGCAGCACCAGGAAUUAAUAAAACCCCAGGAAUCCCCAGGGAUUCCAGCACACACUUCCAUGGUUUUUAGGCACACGACAGCGGAGCAGCCUCGGGAAUUAACAAAGCAUUACCAACAUUCACCAUGACUAAUCUGCUCAUUAACAGGGGGUUUUGUUUUGUUUUGUUUUUUUUAAAAAACCUUUUUUUUUUUUAACCUUGUAAUGGGAAACAGGACAGGGAUAACCAUCCCUGUAAAUCCUAGUUGGUUUCUCUAAGUUUUCCCAGUUUAACCACAUGGAACGACAGUGAAUUUCCACCACUGAACAGCCCCAUACAAGUCAUGAACCUGGGGCUAAAAGCUGCAAAAAAUUCAGUGUAUUCAGCGUGUUGGAAUUUCUACCACACUUAGGGGACAUUGUGCUAUUUCUAAUGACUCAUGAAUCGCCUCUUUCUGGGCCCUGUGCUGAUUAAAUUUAUUAAAUCCUCACAACUAAAAGCUCUGAGCACUCUAACAUUAAUUAGGUUUGCAAGUAUAAACAACAGAGCAUCAUAUUUAUAAAAAACAACAAGAGUUCUCAGCCAGAAAAUCAAGCCACAAAUCAGCUGGUUUUUUUUUUCCUUUUUGCUUCAUAUAAAAAACCUGUUUAAGACAAAUUAUUUCUGUUUUCUUUGCUCUUCAAACUCAUACGGGCAAGGAACCAACGAUAUUUUUUCUGGCAUGCUUUCCAAACUUUUUUUCUGGUGCUUUUCCAGGAAUAUGAAGGAAAAAAUAAUAUUGAAGUGAUACCAUUAUCUCUUACAAUGAAUUUUUGUCUUUUAUUGCCCAAAUCCUUCCUUAUUCCAUUGAAUCUGAAGCCAUCAGGACUUCUCAAGUGGUGUGCAGGGACAGGAUAUUUAUUAUCUACCUUAAAAACAAUGGGAUAAAGCAGCUGGAAUUCUCAGUGCCAGACAAAGCUCCUGCCAGGCUUAUUUAGUUUAUUUUUUAAUUUAUCCAAAGCCUUCAUUGAGAGGCAGCGAUUUUGACAUUCCCAUCAGCUACAGAGGAUGAAAGCAAGGUAAGAACGUGCCAGGAACAGGAAAAUCAGAGAAUUCCUGGAUUUUUUUUCACAGGGAAAUGUUUGCUUUGCGGGCAUAAAGCUCUUGAAGCAAAUCCAGGAGAAGACUGGAAAUAAACAACACAAACCAGCACAACCCUCCUCCCAAAGCAGCCUUUUAUUGGGGUGAAAUACAACAAAACACCGCUGUGGAUAUAAAAAAAUAAAAAUGUAAGAGAUUUCUGUAGUCUCAGAAGCUUUGCCCUUGCUUUUGGCUGGAAUUUCUCUUUUCCCUGUGGAUAAACAGUGAUUCCCUGCAUGAAACAC